CCUACGGGUGGCAGCAGUGGGGAAUAUUGCACAAUGGGGGAAACCCUGAUGCAGCGACGCCGCGUGAGUGAAGAAGUAUUUCGGUACGUAAAGCUCUAUCAGCAGGGAAGAAAAAAAGUCCUUUGGACUUUGGACGGUACCUGACUAAGAAGCCCCGGCUAACUACGUGCCAGCAGCCGCGGUAAUACGUAGGGGGCAAGCGUUAUCCGGAUUUACUGGGUGGAAAGGGAGCGUAGACGGCAGCGCAAGUCUGGAGUGAAAUGCCGGGGCCCAACCCCGGAACUGCUUUGGAAACUGUGCAGCUGGAGUGCAGGAGAGGUAAGCGGAAUUCCUGGUGUAGCGGUGAAAUGCGUAGAUAUCAGGAGGAACACCGGCGGCGAAGGCGGCCUGCUGGACCGCGACUGACGUUGAGGCUCGAAAGCGUGGGGAGCGAACAGGAUUAGAUACCCCAGUAGUC
rnacentral:rRNA from 1 species